UACAGAGGGUGCGAGCGUUAAUCGGAUUUACUGGGCGUAAAGGGCGCGUAGGUGGUAAAGCAAGUAAGAUGUGAAAGCCCCGGGCUUAACCUGGGAAGUGCAUCUUAAACUGCUUAACUAGAGUAUGGUAGAGGGUAGUGGAAUUUCCGGUGUAGCGGUGAAAUGCGUAGAGAUCGGAAGGAACGCCAGUGGUGAAGACGACUACCUGGACCAAUACUGACACUGAGGCGCGAAAGCGUGGGGAUCAAACAGG
rnacentral:rRNA from 1 species